GUUUGGGCCAACUAAGAAUCAUACGGAGAUUGCUGAAGACAUCAAUGCCUGCAUAAACGCAUUGCCUGCAAAGAACAAACAUCUACUGUUGAAAGUGUACGACCCUGAGCCCGAGCUCGGUAAACCUCGUUCUGACUUGGACGUUGUGGUUCUGCAGAUGAUCCUUACUCGAGCCAAAAUGCCAAGACUUGAUGCAGCAGUUCGGCUAGCUCUAGAAUUGAAUCGAGCAGAUAUACUACGAGAAGAAAUUCUUUCCCAAGCCAUUAGCGUGAAAGACAUGCUGUUGAUGAAAUGGGAUGAGGUAAUGAAAAUCGCACUUCUGGCGGACAAGCACGAGUUUGUAAAGCUGUUCUUGG